UAUUUGGUUAAUCCUAUUAGUAAUCAUAUAUUUAUCUCAAAAAUUAAACCAUGUAUGUUUAAGUAUAAGCAAUUUAUAUAGUAAAAUUAUGAAUAACUCAUUAAAUCAAUUAUUAUUUAUUUAAUAAUAUCUUAUUAUUUAAAUAAUUAUAAUAAUUUUAAAACUAAUAUAUGCUAAAAAUUCUAAUUUCCAAAAAAAAUAUAUUUAUUAGAUAAAAAAUUAAUAACUUUGGCCUUCUUAAUAAUUUAUAAUAAUUUAACGAAUUAUAUAGUUUUGCACCAGCAAUGGUUUAUUUAAAUUUUUACCCUAUUAAUUUUCGAUAAUAAAAUAGUAACCUACCAUAAUUUCAACAAAUAACAAGGAAUUAGAAUUCGAUUUUAAAAAAAAACCUAAAAAACGGCUAUUAUAUUUAAAAAAGGUAGUAAAUGUACAAAUUAUUUAAUUUUAAUUUGAGGAGGUAGUAAUAAUAAAUAUUAAUAUAAGGCUUUUUUAAAUUUUAUAAUUAAAAUAAGUACAAUUUAAAUUCUUUAAUAAAAAAUAAUUGAAAAGUAAAUUUAAUACCAAUAACUACAAUAAUUUUAACUCCAAUAACAUAUAUUAAAAUUAUUAUAAUUAAAAAACUCAUAAUUAAAUUUUAAGUCUAACUACUCAAUCCACCUAAUUACAUACAUUAAUAUAAUUAGAUUUUUUUUUCUAAUUAAUUUUAUAUCCUUUACUGGGUAUAUUAAGAAUCCAAAACUUUUAUUUUAAAAAAAUUAAAAUAUUCAAAGUAAGCCUACACUUAAAUACAUUAACAUAAAAUAAUAGAAUAGGAUAGCAAUUCUAUUUUAUUAAUUUCUAAAGCCAUUAUAAUAAUUAAUAAGGAUAAUCAAAAACAUCAGUAUUUAAUUAUCAAAAAUAAAAUUCUUAAAUUUAUUAAAAACUAACUAUUGCGAAAGUAUUUACUAAGAAUAUUUUCAUUAAUCAAUAAAUAAAAAUUAAAAAUUAAAAACAAUCAAAUACCAUUGUAAUCUUAACUAUAAAUUAUAUCAACUAAAGAUUGGGCAAUGUUUAAUUUAUAACCCACUCAGUAUUUUAUGAGAAAUUAAAGUUUUUAAGUUUUAAAAGAAAUAUAAUUGUAAGACUAAAAUUUAAAAAAAUUAAUGAAAAGGUAUUAUUAGAUAUAAAACUUACAACUUAAUUUAAUUUAAUACAAAAAAAUUUACCAAAUCCAAAUAUAUUAAAAAUUAAUAAAUUAAAAGCUUUUUUUUAAUUAUAUAAAUAAUAAUACAUAGUUAUUUUUAAUUAAUAAAGUGAUUUAUUUACUUAAUUGUGAUAACAAACAAAAUUUUAAUUUGUUAAAUAACCAAGUUAGUUUUUACUAAUCACCAGUUUCUUAAAAAGACUAUUGGCUUAAGCUAAUAAAAAUUUAAGACAAUAAUAAAUCUAUAAUGUUCUUAAAUAUUCUAAGCUGUACGCACGCUAUACUGAUAGAACCAACAAAUAUAAAUUUUAAUUGAAAAAUUUAAAUAAUUUUAUUAAACUUUAUUGUACUGGGGAUAGGGUAUUACAAUUAUUACCUUUUAAUGAGAAAUAUCUAAUAAGUGUAAGUUAUUAGUUUGCAUUGAUUACAUUUUUACCCUUUAUAUACACUGUUUGUCAUUAUUACCAAUUGAAUGGUUUAAUAAGGCUUUCAAACUGGUUUCAGAAAAUUGGCAACAACCACCUAGAGUUGGAAAAUUAAUCAAACUUAAUCAUUUAGAAAAAAUAAAAGUUGUAACAAAAUUUUUAUAAAUAAACCUACAAAAAAAUUAUUA
rfam:Dactylellina haptotyla CBS 200.50 unplaced genomic scaffold scaffold00397, whole genome shotgun sequence.